UACGUAGGGGGCAAGCGUUGUCCGGAUUUAUUGGGCGUAAAGAGCGUGUAGGCGGCCAUUCAGGUCAGCUGUGAAAACUCGAGGCUCAACCUCGAGACGUCGGUUGAAACCGUUUGGCUAGAGUCCGGAAGAGGAGAGUGGAAUUCCCGGUGUAGCGGUGAAAUGCGCAGAUAUCGGGGAAGAACACCCGUGGCGAAGGCGGCUCUCUGGGACGGUACUGACGCUGAGACGCGAAAGCGUGGGGGAGCGAACAGG
rnacentral:rRNA from 1 species